CACAUCUCUCUUUCAUCCUCUGCCCUUCAUCAUCCCUAGGUAGGUAUGCACAACCCACACAUCUCUCUUUCAUCCUCUGCCCUUCAUCAUCCCUAGGUAGGUAUGCACAACCCACACAUCUCUCUUUCAUCCUCUGCCCUUCAUCAUCCCUAGGUAGGUAUGCACAACCCACACAUCUCUCUUUCAUCCUCUGCCCUUCAUCAUCCCUAGGUAGGUAUGCACAACCCACACAUCUCUCUUUCAUCCUCUGCCCUUCAUCAUCCCUAGGUAGGUAUGCACAACCCACACAUCUCUCUUUCAUCCUCUGCCCUUCAUCAUCCCUAGGUAGGUAUGAACAACCCACACAUCUCUCUUUCAUCCUCUGCCCUAUGUUCCUCUUGUUUGUAUACAUUGAUGCGCAUUCUCAAAUUAAUGAAAGGAGACCGACAGGGAUCAUUAAAAUGUAAAUCAAUUUAUAACAUUUUUGACAUGUGUUUUUCUGGAUUUUAUUGUUGUUAUUCUGUCUCACUGU